GGUGAAUCAAAGUUGACACUAUCCCCUUUUAUACAGACUGCACAGGUGAAUCAAAGUUGACACUAUCCCCUUUUAUACAGACUGCACAGGUGAAUCAAAGUUGACACUAUCCCCUUUUAUACAGACUGCACAGGUGAAUCAAAGUUGACACUAUCCCCUUUUAUACAGACUGCACAGGUGAAUCAAAGUUGACACUAUCCCCUUUUAUACAGACUGCACAGGUGAAUCAAAGUUGACACUAUCCCCUUUUAUACAGACUGCACAGGUGAAUCAAAGUUGACACUAUCCCCUUUUAUACAGACUGCACAGGUGAAUCAAAGUUGACACUAUCCCCUUUUAUACAGACUGCACAGGUGAAUCAAAGUUGACACUAUCCCCUUUUAUACAGACUGCACAGGUGAAUCAAAGUUGACACUAUCCCCUUUUAUACAGACUGCACAGGUGAAUCAAAGUUGACACUAUCCCCUUUUAUACAGACUGCACAGGUGAAUCAAAGUUGACACUAUCCCCUUUUAUACAGACUGCACAGGUGAAUCAAAGUUGACACUAUCCCCUUUUAUACAGACUGCACAGGUGAAUCAAAGUUGACACUAUCCCCUUUUAUACAGACUGCACAGGUGAAUCAAAGUUGACACUAUCCCCUUUUAUACAGACUGCACAGGUGAAUCAAAGUUGACACUAUCCCCUUUUAUACAGACUGCACAGGUGAAUCAAAGUUGACACUAUCCCCUUUUAUACAGACUGCACAGGUGAAUCAAAGUUGACACUAUCCCCUUUUAUACAGACUGCACAGGUGAAUCAAAGUUGACACUAUCCCCUUUUAUACAGACUGCACAGGUGAAUCAAAGUUGACACUAUCCCCUUUUAUACAGACUGCACAGGUGAAUCAAAGUUGACACUAUCCCCUUUUAUACAGACUGCACAGGUGAAUCAAAGUUGACACUAUCCCCUUUUAUACAGACUGCACAGGUGAAUCAAAGUUGACACUAUCCCCUUUUAUACAGACUGCACAGGUGAAUCAAAGUUGACACUAUCCCCUUUUAUACAGACUGCACAGGUGAAUCAAAGUUGACACUAUCCCCUUUUAUACAGACUGCACAGGUGAAUCAAAGUUGACACUAUC